rnacentral:lncRNA from 1 species
AAAUUCAAAAGAGCCCUUGAUCCCCUCAUCCUGUAAGCGGCUCGGUCAUAAGCCAGAGCCGCAUCCUCAGCCGUCUCGAAAGUCCCGAGCCAAACCCGAGCCCCAUUCUUAGCCGGGUCACGUAUUUCGGCCGCAAACUUCCCCCAAGGUCUCUGCCUCACCCCCCUGUAAUGCUUCCCCCUAGAAGGCACCACUGCAGGAGCCGGAGCACCUCGCUCCUCCGGUAACGCCGGUGCCGGCGCCGCCUCCGCCACCUGAUGGCGAUCAGAUUCAGCUAACUGCUCCUGUGGAACCCAUCCAACUGUUAGGGCAUCACGCAAGAAAUUAAAGACAAGCAUGUCCUCGGAGUCGUUCUCCCUCAAAGGGAGGUCCCCCCAGUUGUCAGUUAGACAAGGGUACAAUCGGCUAAAGCUUGAGCUCCUGCAAUAAGUAGGGGGAGCCCCGUUGGACUUGGAACUCGCUGAUGACACGCUGCUCAGUCCAGUCUCCGAUUCGUCGAGUAAGUGCUGGCG